rnacentral:misc_RNA from 1 species
AAGGAUCAUUACCGAGGUACCGCCCCUAAAACGGGCGCCUCUCACACUUGAAUACGCACGAAGUCGCUUCGGCGGGACGCCCUUACGGGCCGCCGGCCCUUAGGAGCGGGCGCGCUCCCGCCGAAGGCACCAACUCUUUUAAUUUUUUUGCAAGUCUGAGAAUACAAUCAAAAAGUAAAACUUUCAACAACGGAUCUCUUGGUUCUG